UUUGGUGGCGAUAGCGAAGAGGUCACACCCGUUCCCAUGCCGAACACGGAAGUUAAGCUCUUCAGCGCCGAUGGUAGUCGGGGGUUUC
rnacentral:rRNA from 1 species